rnacentral:rRNA from 1 species
GACGAACCGAGCGAACGUUGUUCGGAAUCACUGGGCUUAAAGGGCGCGUAGGCGGCCAUCUAAGUCAGACGUGAAAUCCCCCGGCUCAACCUGGGAACUGCGUCUGAUACUGGGAGGCUAGAGUUUGGGAGAGGGAUGUAGAAUUCCAGGUGUAGCGGUGAAAUGCGUAGAGAUCAGGAAGAACAUCGGUGGCGAAGGCGCUCUGCUGGACCAUAACUGACACUCAGGGACGAAAGCUAGGGGAGCGAAUGGG